ensembl:lncRNA
GGGUCUUGGAGAGGAUGGCUGGGAUUUCUGAGAAGGACACUUUAAGACUUGGGAGUCAGAAGAUCUGAUUAUAAUCCUGGUUCCAGCACCUCCCCUUGAUUUUAACCUUCAACAGAUGACCAACCUCAUUUUCCCCACCUGUAACUUGGAGAUGAUGGUUGCUAGCAUUUUAGUCAAUUGCCCAGGCCAGUGCUCACAUAGGGCUGAGACAAAUGUGUGUGUGCUAAAUUGCUUCAGUCAUGUCUGGCUCUUUGCAACCCUAUGGACUGUAGCCCACCAGGCUCCUCUGUCCAGGGGAUUCUCCAGGCAAGAAUACUAGAGUGGGUUGUCAUGCCCUCUUGCAGGGGAUCUUCCUGACCCAGGGACUGAGCCCUUGUCUCUUAUGUCUUCUACAUUGACAAGUGGGUUCUUUACCACUAGCACCACCUGGGAAGCCCCUAGAAACCAAUACUGCCAGUCUUUUCUGCUCCAGCUUGGAAGCUGCUCUAAGCUGAGUCGGGCUGGGCUGGCUGGUUUGGAUGGUGCCAGCAUCAUGGCUUCUGAACUGCUGUUUUAGGGAGAUUUGUGAUGGUAAUUUGACGUGUCAGUCUCUUAGCUUUCUCUCUUUCCAGCUGGAUGAAAGCAAGACCUUGUGUUCUUUAUUAGAGCCAGAGGGUAGGACUGGACAAACUUCAAGACCCAGACCAGAUCCAUAGUGACCACGAUGGUUUCUCCUGAAGCAGCCCUGAAACCGAAGUCUCCUGGUGGCCAGGAGGUGGAAGAUUCCUGGUCAUCUGGGCUCCCAGGAUCCAGCUUAUUCUUCAUGUGUUGCUAAAAGAGGACAGAGCAGUUGUUCUCAUAACAGUUCCCUGGCUGAGCAAAUGCUGCAACCCAGUCAUCAGCACUGAAGGCAACUGAGUUCAUGACCUACAUCCUGACUGUUUCUAAAGGGAGCUGUAGCCACCCAGUGAUUUAUUUCAUGGAUGAUCAGCCUUCAAAACUGUGCAACGGUGAUUGGGCAUGAAUCCUGUAAGUGCCAAUAAUGUGUGAAGUCUGUGUUCAGUGCCCCAGGGCUGCAUUGUGCCUCGAAAGAGUCAGCCUGGAUUCGUGGCUUGAGGUGGAAGCCAAAGUGACUGCAGCCACUUAUACGAGGUGGACUGACCUGCUGCUCUGGUGCCCUUCCCUGGGCACCCAGCCCUGCUGGGUGGUCUCUGUCCUGACCCAGGACCUGUGAUUGACGUGAAGGGGUGGAAGCCAAAGAGCUGCGGACAAAUGGUUUGCCUUGGCCCCGCUUGCUCAGAGAGCAUGGAACACAUCUGGAGGGGGUCCUGCUGCUCUCCGUCUGCAGUCUUACCCUAAGGAUCUCAUGGAUGAAGGAAUCUGGAAGAAAACAUUUCUAAGGAGGAGAGGAGGAACCAGUGCCUUCUAGACCGAGAGGAGCAAAGAGGGUGAUUUUCUCCACUGGAGGAGUUCACUAAUUCAUCAGGAACCAGGAGCUGCCCAGUAGUCAGUCCUCUGCACUUUACAAAAUGCUUUUCUUGAGUUGUCUGUUCACACGUGUGCUUCUGCAAUGAGGAACUAUACACAAAGCUGUGGGCAAACAGAUGGAGGGGCUGAGUCAGUCUGGAGGGAUCAGCGAAGACUUCACAGAGGAGGUGACAUAUUGCUGUGUCUUAAAGCCUAAGAAGAAAGGAAGACAUGAUCCAGGCAGAGGGAACAGCAUGUACAGACGCAAGGAGGCAUUGCUAAUCAACCACAGCAUCAUCCUCAUGCUACAAUCGAAGAAACAGAAAGGGAUGGAAAUGUGGGCCCAGGACCCACCAAGUUAGGAAGCAAUGGAGCCAGGCCUGGUGUCCGCAACCAGACAGAUGCGACGAGCUUGAGGUUCAGACAAACACGGCAAGUAUAAGGAAAGCUCCCUCCGUGACAUCCCUGCUACCCUUUGGUGGACCCAGGCACCAAGGUUUCUUCUCUGCCGCACAGACGGCCAGGGCUCACUCCUAUUUUCUGUUGUUUUCAUUUUUGGACACCCCACCACCUUCUGUGAGGUUUCUGCAGGAAGCCUCUCUACACUGUGACCUCACAGGAAGCUGUGCUCGGCAUGCAGAGAAUUCUCAGCCCCUGUGCAAGAGGCAAGCAACACUGUGACCCGGCCCGAUAAUGGAAUUGAAGAAAUCUGAAUGAAUCGUCUGAUGUGUCAUGACUAAGCCUGCAAUGUGCCAAGUGUCCCCCAGGAGAGGCCCUUGGAUAGCAGACUGGAGCACCACAAUUACGCGUUGGAGACCAUUUCCAGAGAGAGCCACCGACGUCAGUGGCUCUGAGUUCUAGAAGCUCUUGGAGGGUUUGAGGAAUUGUCCCGUGGAUUUGUGGCACCAGGCUCUCAGCGUGAGACUGAGGGGUGGUGGUGCAGCUCGCUAGUCCAGCUCUGGUGGUGGAUGGAUCUCCCAGUGCAUGCAGCCUGCUUCACUUCUGGGCAGUUUUAAUUACUCUCUAGUUCUUUUACUGAUCCCAUCUUGACCUCCCAGAUCUGUGUCUUGCUCUUUGUUUAAGCUUCUGGAGCCUUGUAGGCUCAUUCUCAUUUCAUUUCCACUGACACUCAAGUGUGUUCAGGGAGCCCUUAAGCAUUUCUUGUUCUGCCUCCACUCCCCUUCUGCCUCCUUACCACAUCUAUUCUUCUCCAGGGAGAAUAUUCUCAAUUUUAUUGACUGUUCUUCUGGUGGUUUUAUGGGUAGGUGCCUUUAC